AGUGAACGCUGGCGGUAGGCCUAACACAUGCAAGUCGAACGGCAGCACAGUAAGAGCUUGCUCUUCCGGUUGGCGAGUGGCGGAUGGGUGAGGAAUACAUCGGCAUCUACUUUUUCGUGGGGGAUAACGUAGGGAAACUUACGCUAAUACCGCAUACUACCUACGGGUGAAAGCAGGGGAUCUUCGGACCUUGCGCGUUUGAAUGAGCCGAUGUCGGUUUUGCUAGUUGGUGGGGUAAAGGCCCACCAAGGCGACGAUCCGUAACUGGUCUGAGAGGAUGGACAGCAACAGGGGAACUGAGACACGGUCAAGAGACUGAGGGGAGGCAGCAGAGGGGAAUAUUGGAAAAUGGGGGCAAGCCUGAUCCAGCCAUACCGGGUGGGUGAAGAAGGGCUUGGGGUUGUAAAGCCCUUUUGUUGGGAAAGAAAAGCAGCAGGUUAAAACCCGGCUGGUGUGACGGUAGCCAAAGAAGAAGCACCGGCUAACUACGUG
rnacentral:rRNA from 1 species